rnacentral:rRNA from 1 species
GAUGAACGCUAGCGGCAGGCUUAAUACAUGCAAGUCGAACGGUAACAGGUCUUCGGACGCUGACGAGUGGCGCACGGGUGAGGAACACGUACACAAUCUACCUUAUACUGGAGAAUAGCCCCGGGAAACUGGGAUUAAUACUCCAUAGUCUUUAAUGAUCACAUGAGAAAUAAAGUAAAGCUUCGGCGGUAUAAGAUGAGUGUGCGUCCCAUUAGAUUGUUGGUGAGGUAACGGCUCACUAAGUCGACGAUGGGUAGCUGGCGUGAGAGCGCGACCAGCCACACUGGCACUGAGACACGGGGCCAGACUCCUACGGGAGGCAGCAGUAGGGAAUAUUGGUCAAUGGACGAAAGUCUGAACCAGCCAUGCCGCGUGGAGGAUGACUGCCCUCUGGGUUGUAAACUCCUUUUAUAUGGGAAGAAACCUCUGGAUUCACUCCAGAGCUGACGGUAUCAUAUGAAUAAGCACCGGCUAACUCCG